rnacentral:rRNA from 1 species
UUCCCUCUGGCGGCAUGCCUUACACAUGCAAGUCGAACGGCAGCAUGAUCUAGCUUGCUAGAUUGAUGGCGAGUGGCGAACGGGUGAGUAAUACAUCGGAACGUGCCCUGUAGUGGGGGAUAACUAGUCGAAAGAUUAGCUAAUACCGCAUACGACCUGAGGGUGAAAGUGGGGGACCGCAAGGCCUCAUGCUAUAGGAGCGGCCGAUGUCUGAUUAGCUAGUUGGUGAGGUAAAGGCUCACCAAGGCGACGAUCAGUAGCUGGUCUGAGAGGACGAUCAGCCACACUGGGACUGAGACACGGCCCAGACUCCUACGGGAGGCAGCAGUGGGGAAUUUUGGACAAUGGGCGAAAGCCUGAUCCAGCAAUGCCGCGUGUGUGAAGAAGGCCUUCGGGUUGUAAAGCACUUUUGUCCGGAAAGAAAUGGCUCUGGUUAAUACCUGGGGUCGAUGACGGUACCGGAAGAAUAAGGACCGGCUAACUACGUG